GUUUGGGCAGGGCAUGGCUGGGCAGCUCUUCUGCUCCACCUCAUGGCAUGGACUACAUAUAUGGAGCUGAGCUAGGCUAGAGGGUCCAAUAAGUCUCCACCCACAAGUCUAGAACCUCAGUGCUCCCUUAUGUUGUCUCUCUCUCCAUAUGGAUAACUUGGGCUUCCUCACAGCAUGGCUGUCUCAGUACAGUUUAACACAUUACCUUGUCUGGACUCUAGAAGAGGAGAAGCAGAAGCUAACAAUUCUCUAAAGACUGGAAUUGUAAACCCCAAAACAUCACUUCCAGCAUUUUCUGUUGAUGAAGUGCGGCAGACGGUCUGAAGUCUAAGUUCGCGAGCUGCCGACGGUGGCGCGGAAGUCUUUGGUCUCAGUCUGGAGAGGCGCGGGCGUGCAGGCCGCUAAGGACCCCGUUCACAGCUAGAGCAGAGAAGCAAUCCCCUGGUGGAGGUAGGCAAGCGGUUGCGGCUCGGCGCCCUCGUUUUUCCCUCCUUUUCCCAUCAUUAGUUGGACUGAGUAAUGCUGUGGAGAAGCCUUUCAACGCUGCUACCUUGGAGAGGGAAAUGAAUGUCCCUCUUUCUUGGAAAGGAGCUCUCACCGGGGCUGCACCUGCGCAGGGAGGCUCGGCCCCAUCUCUCUGGACGCAGCGGUCGGCCGUGCAGACCUGGGGUCGCCCCGGCCCCGCGGUAGAGGCGGGAGGCGGAGGCGGCUCGGAAGUCGCGCCCCCGCUGGGUCGCUAG
rnacentral:lncRNA from 1 species